UCUCUUUCUUGGCACCAUUAUCUAUUGCAGGUUGUGUUCGGGCGAGGCCCAGAUACAACAGUCUACUUUUUUUUGGCUGAAAUGAUCGCUACUUAACUACAAGGUUGUGGUUGGAUAUUGGAUGCAGAGGAAUAGUAAUUUGGCUGAUGAGGUCUUAAGAUAAUGCCUUUGAUGUUAAAAGAUCUUGCAUCGUGUGAGGCUACUAUAGGAGAAAUGACACUUUCUCUCUUGGCGAGUUAUUCAAGAAUGGUAGUGCUACAACACCGAAGUACAUAUAUUACUUACAAUCAUAGAUAUAUCAUGCCUACCUUUACAAAAGCUCCUCUACGGAAACAAGGGGCAGAUGACUAUUACUUGAAAUUUGUCGUGCAUUUUUUUUGGUUAUGUUCCAAAAGUUUAGAUGCAUAGCAAUGCACACUAAUUCAUACGUGAAUGGUUUUUUGUGCUGAUUCAUAUUUCAUUACUUUUACGAAAGGCAGGGGUAUGCAUUUUUUACCAUCAAUUUUAGAAUAAGACGCCUACAGGUGAGGUGUAGACGUGUAGUUGAUGAAAAUAUUGGUUACCACAACUCUUAUUAGUGCCAAGUCCCAGUAUCUGAAUUGCAGUAUUUUUUCAUAGACUUUCUUAGCUCAGUUUAUUUCUCAUGGAGUGGCUGACCUAUAUAGUGCUGUAAUAAGUCAUAAAUACAAACUGUCGGGCAAAA